rnacentral:lncRNA from 1 species
CCGGCGCCUUUAUUCCUCGAACACACUUGGAAAGGGGUCGCUCGUAGACGGGAGGUGUCACGCUUGGCCCAAUCUGGCGCGUCUUGGUUCCUGGGAUGGCCCAGCCAUUAGCGGGUUCGUCUGUCGAACGGCCUUGGCGGCUAGCUGCGGCCUUGGGGAAGCGUCGCACGCACUUUCCCAGGCAUUCCUUGUCCCAGCGUCGUGGUCGGCGGCCGGGUGACAUCCAUCAGCCCCGUAGCCGUCAAACGUGUCUCGCCUUGGUGUCGCCGCUGGUCUGUUCACCUCCUCCACGGCCCGGAAAAUCUCGACUGGCCAGCGCUGACAACCGCUGGUCAGUAUGAGAGUGACUGGUGACCAAGAAGAUGACUUGGCGUUCUGCAACAACUGCAAACUCGGAAUGCCUCCAACCACCUCACAACAACCGGCAUGGAAGAGUCGAUCCCGACAACACAGUACCACACAGCGUGCAAACGCCUGGAAUCAAAUAUUAACCCACCAGACUUCAUGGCAAAUUUCAAUGUAAGCUGCUCAACUGAAGACAGCAAAUUUUCACUCAAAUUUUCGUGCCGCCAAAGCGAGCGCCUCACGCUCCUUUGAGUUCAACGAAACCGGACAGUCGCGCUGCACGAGAGCAAAGGUAUACAUAGAGCUAAACCAAAGGCGCUAAAUAACCAACGCUUCAAAACUCCUCAUGCAGCCUAAGUUCACGAACAGUCUGUUCAUACUCUUAUCACAGUGAACUGCUUAUCACACCUAAUGGUGCCACUGCCCAGCCUCGUGAACUCUAGGCAUACAUAAUCAAAAUCGCGCCAAUUUUGCGGUCCCUAAUAACAACGCAUACUUGCGUCUCACGCAGACGUUUUCUUUCCCUUUUGUCUUUGCAGGACACGCCUUAAAAAAAAAAAAAAACAAAACAAA